rnacentral:rRNA from 1 species
GCUACGGGUGGCAGCAGUGAGGAAUAUUGGUCAAUGGGCGGAAGCCUGAACCAGCCAAGUCGCGUGAGGGAAUAAGGCCCUACGGGUCGUAAACCUCUUUUGCCGGGGAGCAAGGGCGGGGACGUGUCCCGGCCCGGAGAGUACCCGGAGAAAAAGCAUCGGCUAAACCCGGGCCAGCAGCCGCGGUAAUCAGGAGGAUGCGAGCGUUAUCCGGAUUGAUGGGGUUGAAAGGGUGCGUAGGCGGGCUUUUAAGUCAGCGGUAAAAAUUCGGGGCUCAACCCCGUCCGGCCGUUGCAACUGGGGGCCUUGCGUGGGCGAGAAGCAGGCGGACUGCGUGGUGUAGCGGUGACAUGCAUAGAUAUCACGCAGAACCCCGAUUGCGAAGGCAGCCUUCCGGCGCCCUCCUGACGCUGAGGCACGAAAGUGCGGGGAUCGAACAGGAUUAGAUACCCGAGUAGUC